UGGGUUCUGCAAAAAAUAGAGUAACAAAUGCUUCAAGUGUGGCUAGAUUGGUUAUCUGCAAAGGUAUUGUCCUUCUAAGGUCACUUAUAGGGUGAAUAAGAUUUAUGUUUCUACUUUAUCUGCACCUGCACCAAAGGGUGCUACUUCUACUUCUGGCUCCGGCACUGGUCGGAACCGUCUGUAUGCUCUUACCUCUUUCCA
rnacentral:lncRNA from 1 species